rnacentral:rRNA from 1 species
CCUACGGGGGGCAGCAGUGGGGAAUUUUGGACAAUGGGCGCAAGCCUGAUCCAGCAAUGCCGCGUGAGUGAAGAAGGCCUUUGGGUUGUAAAGCUCUUUCGGUCGGGAAGAAGGAAUGGGUGCUAAUAUCACCUGUGACAGACGGUACCGGCAUAAGAAGCACCGGCUAACUACGUGCCAGCAGCCGCGGUAAUACGUAGGGUGCAAGCGUUAAUCGGAAUGACUGGGCGUAAAGGGUGUGUAGGCGGUUUGUUAAGUCUGAUGUGAAAGCCCCGAGCUUAACUUGGGAAUUGCGUUGGAUACUGGCAAGCUAGAGUACGUAAGAGGGGGGUAGAAUUCCACGUGUAGCAGUGAAAUGCGUAGAGAUGUGGAGGAAUACCGAUGGCGAAGGCAGCCCCCUGGGACUAUACUGACGCUGAGGCACGAAAGCGUGGGGAGCAAACAGGAUUAGAUACCCCAGUAGUC